GAUCAUGGCUCAAAUUGAACGCUGGCGGCAGGCCUAACACAUGCAAGUCGAACGGUAACAGGAAGAAGCUUGCUUCUUUGCUGACGAGUGGCGGACGGGUGAGUAAUGUCUGGGAAACUGCCUGAUGGAGGGGGAUAACUACUGGAAACGGUAGCUAAUACCGCAUAACGUCGCAAGACCAAAGAGGGGGGACCUUCGGGCCUCUUGCCAUCGGAUGUGCCCAGAUGGGUAGUUAGCUAGUAGGUAGGGG
rnacentral:rRNA from 1 species